GAUGAACGCUGGCGGCGUGCCUAAUACAUGCCAGUCGAACGAACAGACGACGUUCUUGCUCCUCUGACGUUAGCGGCGUACGUGAGAGGAACAUAUCCUUCACCUACCUAUAGGACUAGUUUAGCUUCGGGAGACCGGUGCCAAUACCGGAUAAUAUAUUCAACCUCGGGGUUCAAUAGUGUAGGACGGUUUUGCUGUAACUUAGAGAUGGAACCGCGCCGCAUUGGCUAGUUGGUAAGGUAACGGCUUACCAAGGCCACGAUGCGUAGCCGACCUGAGAGGGUGAUCGGCCACACUGGAACUGAGACACGGUCCAGACUCCUACGGGAGGCAGCAGUAGGGAAUCUUCCGCAAUGGGCGAAAGCCUGACGGAGCAACGCCGCGUGAGUGAUGAAGGUCUUCGGAUCGUAAAACUCUGUUAUUAGGGAAGAACAAAUGUGUAAGUAACUAUGCACGUCUUGACGGUACCUAAUCAGAAAGCCACGGCUAACUACGUG
rnacentral:rRNA from 1 species